UUGCUUCUAUUUAUGGGCCUUCUAGUACCGUAACGAGAAACUCGCUUUUCCGCUGCUAAGGCAUAUUGGCGAGCAUCUUCAAGAUUGUGUAAUCGGAUUAUGCCCAUUUCAUCUCUAAGGGACUGAUUCAAACCAGCAAGGUAGCGAGAGGUCCAGCAUCAUGAAAGGGGUUUACGUCCUCGACUUCCUCUUCACUCUCAAGAGCUUCUUGAAAAUCAAGGUUUUGGUGGUUGCGUUCCAGAGUCUCCAUUCGGGCUUCCACGGGUUCCUAACGCUGUGAGGCU